rnacentral:rRNA from 1 species
AAAACCGAUCGUAGUCCGGAUCGCAGUCUGCAACUCGACUGCGUGAAGUCGGAAUCGCUAGUAAUCGUGAAUCAGAAUGUCACGGUGAAUACGUUCCCGGGCCUUGUACACACCGCCCGUCACACCAUGGGAGUGGGUUGCUCCAGAAGUAGCUAGUCUAACCUUCGGGGGGACGGUUACCACGGAGUGAUUCAUGACUGGGGUGAAGUCGUAACAAGGUAGCCGUAGGGGAACCUGCGGCUGGAUCACCUCCUUAA